rnacentral:rRNA from 1 species
UCGGGAAUUUUGGGCAAUGGGCGAAAGCCUGACCCAGCAACGCCGCGUGAAGGAUGAAGUAUUUCGGUAUGUAAACUUCGAAAGAAUAGGAAGAAUAAAUGACGGUACUAUUUAUAAGGUCCGGCUAACUACGUGCAAGCAGCCGCGGUAAUACGUAGGGACCAAGCGUUGUUCGGAUUUACUGGGCGUAAAGGGCGCGUAGGCGGCCUGGCAAGUCACUUGUGAAAUCUCCGAGCUUAACUCGGAACGGUCAAGUGAAACUGCCAUGCUAGAGUGCAGAAGGGGCAAUCGGAAUUCUUGGUGUAGCGGUGAAAUGCGUAGAUAUCAAGAGGAACACCUGAGGUGAAGACGGGUUGCUGGGCUGACACUGACGCUGAGGCGCGAAAGCUAGGGGAGCAAA